GGAGGUGCGACUCAGUGGUAGAGAGCUCGCCUGCUACACGUGAGGCCCUGGGUUUGAUCCCCAGCACCACGA
rnacentral:tRNA from 1 species